CCUACGGGAGGCAGCAGUGGGGAAUAUUGCACAAUGGGGGAAACCCUGAUGCAGCGACGCCGCGUGAGUGAAGAAGUAUCUCGGUACGUAAAGCUCUAUCAGCAGGGAAGAAAAUGACGGUACCUGACUAAGAAGCCCCGGCUAACUACGUGCCAGCAGCCGCGGUAAUACGUAGGGGGCAAGCGUUAUCCGGAUUUACUGGGUGUAAAGGGAGCGCAGACGGCAGCGCAAGUCUGGAGUGAAAGCCCGGGGCCCAACCCCGGAACUGCUCUGGAAACUGUGCGGCUAGAGUACUGGAGGGGCAGGCGGAAUUCCGAGGGUAGCGGGGAAAGGCGUAGAGAGGAGGAGGAACACCAGGGGCGAAGGCGGCCUGCUGGACAGUAACUGACGUUGAGGCUCGAAAGCGUGGGGAGCAAACAGGAUUAGAUACCCCAGUAGUC
rnacentral:rRNA from 1 species